rnacentral:rRNA from 1 species
GACGAACGCUGGCGGCGUGCUUAACACAUGCCAGUCGAACGGAAAGGCCCUGCUUUUGUGGGGUGCUCGAGUGGCGAACGGGUGAGUAACACGUGAGUAACCUGCCCUUGACUUUGGGAUAACUUCAGGAAACUGGGGCUAAUACCGGAUAGGAGCUCCUGCUGCAUGGUGGGGGUUGGAAAGUUUCGGCGGUUGGGGAUGGACUCGGGGCUUAUCAGCUUGUUGGUGGGGUAGUGGCUUACCAAGGCUUUGACGGGUAGCCGGCCUGGGAGGGUGAACGGGGACAUUAGGACUGCGAGACGGCGCAGACUGCUACGGGAGGCAGCGGUGGAGAGUAUUGCACAGUGAGCGGGAGCGUGAUGCAGCAACGCCGCGUGCGGGAUGACGGCCUUCGGGUUGUAAACCGCAUUCGCCUGUGACGAAGCGUGAGUGACGGUAAUGGGUGAAGAAGCACCGGCUAACUACGUG